AUGCUCACUCAGCAGCAUAGAAACAGAAGUUGGGAAAAUGUAGAGAACAUCAAUACAGCCCCUGUGCAAGGAUGACCCACAAAUUUGUGAAGUGUUUUAUAUUUUU